rnacentral:tRNA from 1 species
GGCCUAUUAGAGAGCGUCGUGCUAAUAACGCGAAGGUCGCAGGUUCGAGACCUGCAUGGGCCA